rnacentral:lncRNA from 10 species
UCAGGCCUUGGCCCCCCAAAGUGCUGGAAUUACAGGGAUGGCUUCUAGGAUUCCCUUGGCUCUCACCAGCUAAAGUCAGGAGUCCCUCUCAUGUGUUCUUUGAGUCUCAUUGUGUGCACCAGACUCUACAGUAAUGGCUAUAAGUCUCUCAAGGCCAGAUUGUUAUUAGUGGGAGCCGUUGUCCAUCAGUGCCGACACAGCACAGCACCAGGCGCACUGGAAGAGCCCCAUAAAUACUUGCUGAAUGAAGCAACUCCAUGGCCACCUCCAAUGGCUUAGCUUCAUGCCAGGAACUCAGUAUAGGGCAGGUGCUCAAUGAAAGGGAUGGAAUGAAACAGAGAGCUAAAAUGCCCAUUGGAUUUGUUGACAUGGAAGCUACUGAUUGAUGAUCUUCAGGAAAUCAGUUUCCAGGGAAUGAGAGAGCAACCAGAAGGCAGGUAAAGAAGUUGAGAGCGUGAUUGUAGCUUGUUCUGUCAAGAAACUCAAUUGGGAAUAGGACAAUAACCAGAG